CUACUAGAAGGUUGCCUACCACUUACCUAGAUCCUAGUCACUUUUGUCCAUUCUCCCCACUUAAUGUCGACAUUAAGAAUUUAGCAUAAACUAUGGCGAAUCAUUUGAAUCCAUACCUACGCUCUUUCAUUCACCUAUAUCAAGUGGGAUUUAUUCCCAAUAGAAAGGCCAUGGAUAAUACCAUAGGGCUAUCGACUUCAUCUGGCUUGCUUCUUCCAAAAUUUUGAUGGCUG